GGGGCGCGGGCGGACGAUGGAACUCCACAUCCUGGAGCACCGGCUGCAAGUUGCCAGCGUCGCCAAGGAGAGUAUCCCGCUGUUCACCUACGGGCCUGAUCAAACUUGCCUUCCUGUUCUCCAAGACCAGGUGCAAGUUCUUCAGUCUGACUGAGACACCAGAGGAUUACACUAUCAUUGUCGAUGAGGAAGGAUUCCUAGAGCUGCCCUCCUCGGAGCACCUGAGUGUGGCGGAUGCCACCUGGCUGGCCCUGAACGUGGUGUCCGGCGGUGGCAGCUUCUCCAGCUCCCAGCCUAUUGGCAUGACCAAGAUCGCCAAGUCAGUCAUCGCCCCACUGGCUGACCAGAACAUAUCCGUGUUCAUGCUGUCCACGUAUCAGACAGACUUCAUCCUGGUGCUCAAGCGGGACCUGCCCUUUGUCACCCACACGUUGUCAUCAGAGUUCACCAUCCUGUGGUCAGUGGCUAGACUGUAGCAGCCGAGAACCUCGGCAUCACCAGUGGCUUCGUGAAGCCCAAGCUGGUCCAGAUGCCGGUCAUCCACCCACUGUCCAGCCCGAGCAACAGGUUCUGUGUCACCAGCCUGGACCCCGACACGCUGCCUGCUGUUGCCACACUCCUCAUGGAUGUCAUGUCCUACUUCAAUGGAGAAGAGAACAGAAGAAUAACAGCAGAAGAUACGCAGCCUGUAAUGGACUGAAUAUCUGUGUCCCCCUAAACCCACAUAUUGAAAUCCUUCCCCCAGUGUGAUGCUGUUUGGAAGUGGGGCCUUUGGGAGGUGAUUGGGUCAUAGGGGUGCAGCCCUCAUGGAUGGAUGAAUGCCCUUCUAAGCCCAGGCCAGAGGGCUAGCUUGCUGUUUCUCCUCCAGGUGAGGAUACAACUAGAAGCCAGCAGUCUACAGGCUGGAAGAAGGCCCUCACCAGAACCCAACCCUUGGACUUCAGCCUCCAGAACUGUGAGAAAUACAUACCUGCUGUUUGUAAGACACCAGUCUAUGGAAUUCUGUUACAGUAGCCUGAACUCAGACAUAGCCCUUUUCCAUUUAUAAGGUGGUUUUACCUUAUAUUUUAUGUAAAAGGUCCAUUUUA
rnacentral:lncRNA from 1 species